rnacentral:rRNA from 1 species
UGGGGAAUAUUGCGCAAUGGGCGAAAGCCUGACGCAGCAACGCCGCGUGAGUGAUGAAGGCCUUCGGGUCGUAAAGCUCUGUCGGAGGGAACGAAUGCUCCUGAAGUUAACAGCCUCAGGAGGUGACGGUAUCCUCAAAGGAAGCACCGGCUAACUCUGUGCCAGCAGCCGCGGUAAUACAGAGGGUGCAAGCGUUGUUCGGAAUUACUGGGCGUAAAGCGUGCGUAGUCGGUAUUGAGAGUCGCGGGUGAAAUCCCAGGGCUUAACCCUGGAACUGCCUGCGAGACCUCAGUACUAGAGUGUGAGAGGGGAUAGUGGAAUACCCAGUGUAGCGGUGAAAUGCGUAGAGAUUGGGUGGAACACCGGUGGCGAAGGCGGCUAUCUGGCUCACAACUGACGAUCAGGCGCGAAAGCGUGGGGAGCAAACAGGAUUAGAUACCCACGUAGUCCCUGAGCGGGCUGGCAAGGCGCAU